CAAUAGCGUAUAUUAAAGUUGUUGCGGUUAAAAAGCUCGUAGUUGGAUUUCUGUUGAGGAAGUCCGGUCCGCACUUUGUGCGUGAUCUGGUUCUGCCUCGGCAUCCUCGCGGGGAACAUGCUGCGCUUGAUUGCGUGGUGUGGUAUUCGCGACUUUUACUUUGAGGAAAUUAGAGUGUUCACGGCAGACAAUUGUCUUGAAUACGUUAGCAUGGAAUAAUAAUAUAGGACCUUGGUUCUAUUUUGUUGGUUUCUAGAACUAAGGUGAUGAUUAAUAGGGAUAAUUGGGGGCAUUUGUAUUAACACGUCAGAGGUGAAAUUCUUGGAUUGUGUUACGACAAACUACUGCGAAAGCAUUUGCCAAGGAUGUUUUCAUUGA
rnacentral:rRNA from 1 species